rnacentral:rRNA from 1 species
AUACCGUCAGACCCGACCGAGCCGGGAUUUCUUCUCAUAUAAAAGGAGUUUACGCCGCAUAACGGUGUCAUCCUCCACGCGGCGUGGCUGCGUCAGGGUUUCCCCC